CAAGUCCAUCACGAUGAAGGAGUAGCGAACCGCAUCGACCCCGAGUCAUGCGCCAGUACCCGUGAGGGUAUUGGCGAAGCGUUGACAGGGGAGCGCAUAGGCCAGCCAUUGAGCCGCGAAAGUACCCUCAUCCUGGGUGCCGACGUCGUUCCGGUGACGGAAGGCAACACGGAUGGGCGCGAUAAUAACGCGAGCGCCCAGACGGCCCGGCGUGGUCUUAGACAC
rnacentral:ncRNA from 1 species